rnacentral:rRNA from 1 species
UACGUAGGGUGCAAGCGUUGUCCGGAAUUAUUGGGCGUAAAGAGCUCGUAGGCGGUCUGUCGCGUCUGCUGUGAAAACUCGGGGCUUAACCCCGAACUUGCAGUGGGUACGGGCAGACUAGAGUGUGGUAGGGGAGACUGGAAUUCCUGGUGUAGCGGUGAAAUGCGCAGAUAUCAGGAGGAACACCGGUGGCGAAGGCGGGUCUCUGGGCCGAUACUGACGCUGAGGAGCGAAAGCUAGGGGAGCAAACGGG